rnacentral:rRNA from 1 species
UACGUAGGGACCGAGCGUUGUCCGGAUUCAUUGGGCGUAAAGAGCUCGUAGGCGGCUGUUCAAGUCGAACGUGGAAACUCGGGGCUCAACUCCGAGCCUGCGUCCGAUACUCGUUGGCUUGAGUUUGGGAGAGGGAUGCGGAAUUCCAGGUGUAGCGGUGAAAUGCGUAGAUAUCUGGAGGAACACCGGUGGCGAAGGCGGCAUCCUGGACCAAUACUGACGCUGAGGAGCGAAAGCCAGGGGAGCAAACGGG